CGCCCGCCCGCGGGGCUGCAGCGUCCCCGGGGCUGCGCGGAGGGCGCUUCCCUCCCCCGCAUCCCUAGCAAGGGGGGGGAAGGGCCGGACGGGGGGGGUGUCCGGCGGGGAUCAAGUGCUGGCUGCGGAUCCCCGUGCCUGCUAAAUCCCUCUGCCUGAGGGGAGGCAGAAGAGACCACAGCUCACGGCUAGCGAAUCUCUCUCCCUCUGCGCUCUCCUGCUGCUUGUUAGCUUGGAUUGAGCACUGUCCACAGAACUUCUCAUCAGCUCCCAGUACAGGCAGAGUGAAUUUGGAUCUCUCUGAAGAACCAGCCCAGAUUCAGGAUAUGUUUUUCUUCGUCUGAGUAAUAGUCAGGCAUCUGCACUGCAUACCGUAGUUGGAUGGAGCUUCUCAGGAUACUUGCUUUUCAGAUGGGCUUUGUAGUAGCAUCUCCUUGCAGAAUUGACUUCAGAAAAUAAUUUUCCCUGCUAGCAUUAUCUUAGUUUAAAAAGGAUGAAGGUUGUAAAGAUGUGGGUUUUUUUUCAGCUAAUGGUUACUCAGCUGACCCCUUUGCUUUUACAUUUUGUCUCUCAAGGGUUCUGUUAAAUAAAAUUUAUAUUAAUAGUACA
rnacentral:lncRNA from 1 species